UACGUAGGCGGCAAGCGUUGUUCGGAGUUACUGGGCGUAAAGGGUGUGUAGGCGGUUCUUUUAAGUUUGGUGUGAAAUCUCCCGGCUCAACCGGGAGGGUGCGCCGAAUACUGAGGGACUAGAGUACGGGAGAGGAAAGUGGAAUUCCUGGUGUAGCGGUGAAAUGCGUAGAUAUCAGGAGGAACACCGGUGGUGUAGACGGCUUUCUGGACCGUAACUGACGCUGAGACACGAAAGCGUGGGUAGCAAACAGG
rnacentral:rRNA from 1 species